GAUGAACGCUGGCGGCGUGCCUAAUACAUGCAAGUCGAGCGAACGGACGAGAAGCUUGCUUCUCUGAUGUUAGCGGCGGACGGGUGAGUAACACGUGGAUAACCUACCUAUAAGACUGGGAUAACUUCGGGAAACCGUAGCUAAUACCGGAUAAUAUUUUGAACCGCAUGGUUCAAAAGUGAAAGACGGUCUUGCUGUCACUUAUAGAUAGAUCCGCGCUGCAUUAGCUAGUUGGUAAGGUAACGGCUUACCAAGGCAACGAUGCAUAGCCGACCUGAGAGGGUGAUCGGCCACACUGGAACUGAGACACGGUCCAGACUCCUACGGGAGGCAGCAGUAGGGAAUCUUCCGCAAUGGGCGAAAGCCUGACGGAGCAACGCCGCGUGAGUGAUGAAGGUCCUCGGAUCGUAAAACUCUGUUAUUAGGGAAGAACAUAUGUGUAAGUAACUGUGCACAUCUUGACGGUACCUAAUCAGAAAGCCACGGCUAACUACGUG
rnacentral:rRNA from 1 species